ACUUUUCAUGUAAUUGCAAUUUAAAAUAUGUCUUAUUUUUAAAAAUCGCCGCCAUUUUCCGCCAUUAUAUACCAUGAAACAACAAGAAACGACAGGAAUGACAACCGUUUUAUAAACGCAAGAAGGAGAAUCCUAACAGUGUUGCCAUAGUUAUAUAAAAUAUGUUUUCUUAUGAAAAUUACAAUUUUUCAAUUCUUAAAUAUGUCAUUUUACUUAUUCUGACGCAUUUUUAACACAAAAUGACUGCUUUAUUACAAGGGUCAGGUUAGUUCUGGUUAGGUUUCGUUACGUUAGGUUAGAUUACAUCAAGUUUAUUAAUAUUAUAGUGAUUUAUGAUUAUAUUUUAAUAAAUAAAUUCUGUGGGAUUCCCAGAAUACACUUUCAAGGUUGGAAUGAAAUUUUGUGUAUUUCAUGGUUAUGUACUGUCACUGAUUUCGGGAAACCAUGUUGCCAUGUGAAUGACAAAAGAUAAUUUCACAUGAAAACAUCGAUUUUUGUCCAUUUAAGCGUACCAUUGAUUUGGAAUAUUUAUGCAAACCUCUAAAUUUGGCAACUGUUUUUGAAAAAUUGGUAGAUGCAUGCAUUGACGCAUUUUUUAAACAGUUUAUUGUUAGUUUUUAGUUUGUUAGGUCGGUUGUUUGUGCUGCGCCCUGGAUUUGGGCGUUGUCUGUUGCAUCAUAUACAAAUUUGUGAAAGUGAAGUUAGUUUAUCGGGUUUGGACCGAAGGGUUAGGCCUUCCUCCUUUCAGACCGCCUGCGCCCAAUUGCAAUCUGCCCAGUUUAUCAUUAAAUAAAGGUGAAGUGAGACUAAAUGGUGUGUAGGUGUUACGAAAGUAAAUUUAAGUACAAUUAAGGUGUGGCUUUAAUACCUAUAUUCACAAAGAAAAGGCCUCUUUCGAAGCUAGUAAACUGCAGGCAGAGGAAAUAAAUAUGUUGGUGGCAACUUUUAUUACAUUUAAAGCCACGAAUUUGGCUUUGGACUCUCAAAUUGCAUCGAUCUAUAGCUGUUUUG
rnacentral:lncRNA from 1 species